rnacentral:lncRNA from 1 species
UCUCAACUUUGGCAUUAAUUUGAGAAGUUAAAAUCUCCAACACCUUUCGAACAUCAGCCGAAACGUCUCUUAGUGACGAGUAGAGACCUCGAUAAGCUGAUAAACCAACAGCAAUCAAGCCAUGUACUAACCCAUACUUUUCUUUGCUUUUAACAUUACUGGGCCGAACAAUACAAGAAUUAAAAGGCCAGACCUUCCUAGGCCCGUCAAUUUCAGCAGAUGGGCCUUCUUUCAACUUCGAUGUGACCCAACAAAGUUCAGCAAAAUGAGGAUAUUGCAAGAUCUGAUACCCAAACGUUGAUAUAGCUAACAUCAAGUUUGAUUUCCCCUUUUCCUCCCGUUUGGUAGGUGGUAAUGGAGUUUGACUUUUCAACCUAUAUGCGGAGUCAGAAUCUAGGUUAGGGUGUAGUGUGUUCAUGUCUAAAGAUUCAUUAGUGUUUGAUAAAGUUUCAUGGAUAUGUGUUUGAUGAUGAAUCAGCUCAACAAAGUACUGAGCCACGUCAUUUGAUAACUUGGUUGCAGAUGAACCGAUAACCAUAUCGCGGUUGAAGUUCCCGUCAAGAUGUACAGAAAACCUUGGUAUGCUACUCCCUGUAAUAGUCAAGGAUGCAGAAAUGAAUAUGGACUCUGCCUGCUCAACAAAAGAGCUCCAAAGGUCAGAAGCGCGUAAGAUCGAGUCUUGAGAUUUUCCCGUGUUAUCGGAAUGUAUA